rnacentral:lncRNA from 1 species
GUAGUUAGUGUCAUGUGAAAUGAAGCAAAUCCAAGAAACUUGUGUACAUUGAUUGGCCACGUGAAGAAACUCUUGGAGGGUGUAUAAAGAAGUAGAUACAAGUGGGCUUGGUUUAUUGGUCAAUGAUAGUAAUAUUGUUGUGUUGACCCGAUAUCAAAAUAGGAGAGAACUAGGUCACUUGAGAUUAAAAUGGGAAGGAAAGAAAAACACGAAAAACAACAAGGAGCGGCACAUCACUAUUUUGGGCAGAGAGCAAUAUCACAUAUUUUUGGAGAGAUAGAGAGAUGGCAUUUCUAGAGAAACACAAAGUAAGGUGUUAUGAGUAGAUUUAACUCAAGAUUUGUUGAGACAUCAUGGAUCUCGGCAUUGAAUCUUUAUCUCUUCUUCAUCCUAUGCAAAGCUAUCAUAGACAUAUGUAGCUACAUCUACCCUUCUGGGUUUUGAGGUAUUCAAACAAGUUAUUAUGUAAACUCUUGAUCAUUUAAUAUAUGGUUCUAGCUAUUUAUUCAAUAUUGUUGUUAUUCUUGCAUUUAAUGUUUUAUUGAGAUUCAAAAUGAUAUAGACACAUACUUUUGAAUCUAGAAAUAGAAUAACAAUCUAUCUUAAGUUAUCACUCUAGACAUGGAUGUUAAUAUUUGAUAAUCACUUUUAAUCUAGGACUUAAUGCUUUUGGGUAAUUUAAUCGAUUGGGAAAUCGUCGAUUAAACUAUCCAAUCGACUUUGUGAUCGUUUAAAUGUUUGGGAAAUCGAUGUUUAAACGAUCCCUUAGAAAUAACGAUAUCAUUUGGACACAAAUGAUAUUGUCGAGUGAUUGUGAUAAUAUCGUUUAAAAUGCUAGAAUCCCGUUAUUUGAUCGUGAGAUUGCAGUUGUUACGCUUGGUUGAGUGUCUCUGACCCCAAGCGAAAUGGCCCUAUCUCUUAUCGAUUAAUUUUAUGUCAAAUAGUUUAUAUAGGUUUACACAAACACACAUUUUAAAUCCAUACACUUAGAACAACAUUGAUUGUUGAAUGACUUGAAUAUCGCGCUAGUCCCUGUGGAGACGAUAUACACAAAAAUACUUAUUUUUGAUUGAUAGAAAAAUAUUACAUCAGUAAUCAACAACUCUGUUCAACGAGUUAUUUACGAAACAGACUCUUUAGAAGUUUUCCGUCUUCUUCAAGACUCAGAUCACUCUCAUAUACUCCCUCCGUCCCUAUAUAUAAGACCCUUUUGCCAAAAUCACGGGAAUUAAGAUAGUGGAUAUUUGUAUUAAAGUUGUUUGUAAUCACUAUUGUUUUUACAAUUUUAUCCUUUAAGAAAGAAGGUUAGUUUAUGUUUUCAACAUGUUAUUUAUUGUUGAUUGAAGAAAAAGAUGUAUAAUAAAUAGGGGCAUGUAUGUAAAGAAAUAAUUAAUAUAGUUGGAAAUAACAAAGGGGUCUUAUAAAAAGGGACAAAAAAAAUUAUCAAAAGGGUCUUAUAAUUAGGGAUGGAGGGAGUACAUGUAUAUGUUUCUUUGUUGGUGAAGAUUUUUGGGUUAAAGGAGCAUAUUUCUAACGUUUUUUUCCAACACGUGCUUCGAGACUAGGUGUGACUUUUUGGCAAGCUCCCCCAUUGAAGUUGAAGUCAGUGUUGAGGCUUGAUGCCCAAGACUGAGCCCUAUUUUUAGGUUUUUUUUCUUCUUUUCUUUUGUUAUUCUACGGAAAAGAAAAAAAAACUCAAGAAAUACAAAGAACGAUAACUUCUCUAGAGUCGUAGAGGUAGACAACAUUAUCUGAGCUAUGUAAAAAAAUAUCGUGUCUUGUUGUCUUUUGAUUCUCGUUUCUUUUAUUCGUCUAUUGCUAGUUGUACUAACACAAAUCAUAUUUUUUUCCAUCUAUAAUAUUCAAACCUAAAAUAUUUCUUAAAGGAUUCUUACCUAUUUGUCUUUUAAAACAAGCGUUGUUGACAAAUUCAGUUUUACUCAUAAUAUUGAUUUUUUUUCUUUUUCUUUUUAGCAUAGUUGCUCCAUCAAACUUAAGAAUAGUUUUUUUUGUCUUCUUCAUUUUCUCUAACAAAGUGCUUCACAUUCCUAAUUGAAAUAAGCCAACUUGGUUGUGACAAAAAAAACAAACAGGGUAGGGUCAGUAUUUCCAUUUUGGAGAUAGGACAUAGGAGUUGUUUUCUUAGCCACCUCUCCAUCUUCCACUACUUAGUUUAUAUGAUUUUUUUUUUUAUGAUAAUUUUUGGGACAACAUUGUUUUUUUCUUUUUAUUGAUCAAAAACAAUUGAUAGAAAAAAAAAAAAAAAAAAAAGGACAAUGAAAGUAUAAAAGAGAGAAUUGUUUAAUAAUUGUCAUAAAAUAAUUGUAUAAAUAUUAUUACAACCAUCAUUUUUCCUGAUAUUAUUAACAGACAUUCAAUUAAUUUCUUGUCUUAGUCCGCAGCAAAGGAU